rnacentral:rRNA from 1 species
UACGUAGGGUGCAAGCGUUGUUCGGAAUUACUGGGCGUAAAGGGCUCGUAGGCGGUUUGUCGCGUCUGCCGUGAAAGUCCGGGGCUCACUCCGGAUCUGCGGUGGGUACGGGCAGACUAGAGUGAUGUAGGGGAGACUGGAAUUCCUGGUGUAGCGGUGAAAUGCGCAGAUAUCAGGAGGAACACCGGUGGCGAAGGCGGGUCUCUGGGCCGAAACUGACGCUGAGGAGCGAAAGCGUGGGGAGCGAACAGG